rnacentral:rRNA from 1 species
UACGUAGGGUGCAAGCGUUGUCCGGAAUUAUUGGGCGUAAAGAGCUCGUAGGCGGUUUGUCGCGUCUGCUGUGAAAACUGGGGGGCUCAACCCCCCAGCCUGCAGUGGGUACGGGCAGACUAGAGUGCGGUAGGGGAGAUUGGAAUUCCUGGUGUAGCGGUGGAAUGCGCAGAUAUCAGGAGGAACACCGAUGGCGAAGGCAGAUCUCUGGGCCGCUACUGACGCUGAGGAGCGAAAGCAUGGGGAGCGAACAGG